GCGGAUCUCUCGGGGAAUGAAAGUGCUCAGUACCAGCGCUCCGCUCUGCCCUCGGUGCAGCCCGACGUCCUUGCGGUUUGCUGCUCUGCCAAGGAUCGUGUUUAUUCUCGAGUUUCUUCUCUUCCUCCCCACUCUCAGUGGUCCAAGUCCAGACGCCGUUUUCAAGGGGCGUGGCUGGUAGAGGAGAAGGUGACCUGGCACUCUGGGCUCAUGGUCGCCUGUGGGGCACUGGGUCACCCGGGGUGCCUGGCUGGACUCAGAUCUACAGGGCCCUUGAAAUGAGCUCGGGAGAGGGUCAGGAGGCUCUAAAACCUGAACUGGCCCUUAAGGUCGGUGCUUAGAGACG
rnacentral:lncRNA from 1 species